rnacentral:rRNA from 1 species
CUACGGGUUGCUCCAGUGGGGAAUAUUGCACAAUGGGCGCAAGCCUGAUGCAGCCAUGCCGCGUGUAUGAAGAAGGCCUUCGGGUUGUAAAGUACUUUCAGCGGGGAGGAAGGGAGUAAAGUUAAUACCUUUGCUCAUUGACGUUACCCGCAGAAGAAGCACCGGCUAACUCCGUGCCAGCAGCCGCGGGUAAUACGGAGGGUGCAAGCGUUAAUCGAAAUUACUGGGCGUAAAGCGCACGCAGGCGGUUUGUUAAGUCAGAUGUGAAAUCCCCGGGCUCAACCUGGGAACUGCAUCUGAUACUGGCAAGCUUGAGUCUCGUAGAGGGGGGUAGAAUUCCAGGUGUAGCGGUGAAAUGCGUAGAGAUCUGGAGGAAUACCGGUGGCGAAGGCGGCCCCCUGGACGAAGACUGACGCUCAGGUGCGAAAGCGUGGGGAGCAAACAGGAUUAGAUACCCCAGUAGUC